rnacentral:pre_miRNA from 12 species
CAUCGGAAGUACAGUGCAGUCAUCCAUAAAGUAGAAAGCACUACUAAACUCCUCGGCACAGUGUAGUGUUUCCUACUUUAUGGAUGAGUGUACUGUUGGCUACUGAG